rnacentral:rRNA from 1 species
GGCCUAUCAGCUAGUUGGUGAGGUAACGGCUCACCAAGGCUAAGACGGGUAGCUGGUCUGAGAGGACGACCAGUCACACUGGAACUGAGACACGGUCCAGACACCUACGGGUGGCAGCAGUCGAGAAUUUUUCUCAAUGGGCGAAAGCCUGAAGGAGCGACGCCGCGUGGGGGAUGAAUGGCUUCGGCCCGUAAACCCCUGUCAUUUGUGAACAAAUUGUUUCACCUAACAUGUGAAGCAUUGAUAGUAACGGAAGAGGAAGGGACGGCUAACUCUGUGCCAGCAGCCGCGGUAAUACAGAGGUCCCAAGCGUUGUUCGGAUUCACUGGGCGUAAAGGGUGCGUAGGCGGUCGGGUAAGUCUGACGUGAAAUCUCCGGGCCUAACCCGGAAACUGCGUCGGAUACUAUCCGGCUAGAGGAUUGGAAGGAGACUGGAAUACUUGGUGUAGCAGUGAAAUGCGUAGAUAUCAAGUGAACACCAGUGGCGAAGCGAGUCUCUGGACAAUUCCUGACGCUGAGGCACGAAAGCCAGGGGAGCA